rnacentral:rRNA from 1 species
GUUGAACGCUGGCGGCAGGCCUAACACAUGCAAGUCGAGCGGAUGAAGGGAGCUUGCUCCUGGAUUCAGCGGCGGACGGGUGAGUAAUGCCUAGGAAUCUGCCUGGUAGUGGGGGAUAACGUCCGGAAACGGGCGCUAAUACCGCAUACGUCCUGAGGGAGAAGGGGGGGGAUCUUCGGACCUCACGCUAUCAGAUGAGCCUAGGUCGGAUUAGCUAGUUGGUGGGGUAAAGGCCUACCAAGGCGACGAUCCGUAACUGGUCUGAGAGGAUGAUCAGUCACACUGGAACUGAGACACGGUCCAGACUCCUACGGGAGGCAGCAGUGGGGAAUAUUGGACAAUGGGCGAAAGCCUGAUCCAGCCAUGCCGCGUGUGUGAAGAAGGUCUUCGGAUUGUAAAGCACUUUAAGUUGGGAGGAAGGGAAGUAAGUUAAUACCUUGCUGUUUUGACGUUACCAACAGAAUAAGCCCCGGCUAACUUCGUG